UGGCACCGCCCGGCUCCUCCCGCCUGGCACAUGCGGAGCGGAAGCGGCGCUCAAAGUUUUCACCAAAAUAAAAAAUAAUAAUAAUAAUAAAAAAAAAUUAGGGGCAUAAAACCAUGUGAACGCGUUCUGAGUUCAUUAAAAGUCGAAUUGCCGCGGGGAAAAACAAACAAACCAACAACAAAAUACCCUGCGCAGUAAAGAGGGCUGACAGAAGGGGGCACCUUUCUCUACACCAGGCUGCUCAAGGCUUCAUCCAGCACUCCUGGAAUGGGGGGGCAUCCACAACUUUGGGCAAUCCAUUCCAGUGCCUCACCACCCUCCUCCUAUCAACUACUUCUGAAGCUAAUAGAGGGUAUUGACUAGAGCUACAGAAUCACUGACCCUCCAACUUAAAUGUGCUCUUCGUGCAGCUCAAAAGGCACAAACUACUUGUCCCACAGAUUACAGACUACAGUGUUUUAAAAGGACAUGGUUGGCUAUUCUACCUGAAGCAACUCACUUGCCAGAUGUGCCAACCUGCAGAAUGCUGGGCAGCCCCCUUGCAAUGACCUAACCUGCUCCUUUUCUCUGCUACAAACAGGCAAAUCAAAUCUUUAGAGUUUAUACGUAAUAAAUCUUUAGAGUUCUAAACAUAACUGGACUUUCCAUUGCUCUAAAGCCAGCCUUUGUGCAAAACAUCCAACACAAAACCUGCACUUAAACCACCACCAAAUAAAACAUCUGCAAUUACCUGGCUACUGACAAGCCUGAUUUGUGUGUAUUUGAACAGUCCUGAAUCAAAAAUCUGUGUCCAAGUACCACUGAAGGGACACAUAUUUGAUGUUGCAAGAACAAGAUCUUGUUCUCCCCGAGAGAAAAAUUACUAGUGACCAUAAUUUUCCAGUUUCUUUAGAAAAGCUGUUGCUGCCAUUUCACUCAGAGCACGGCUCACGCAUAAUGCACUUGUUCAAUUCCACAUGUAAUUGUAGCUUCUUUUGUUUCAAUACCACUGAUGUAUACAAUGAAAGCCAAAAAAACCCAAGAACCAGGUAGUUUUAAGACAUCUUUGCUUUGCUUAGCUGGACAUAAAAAUACACAUGAACACUUCGGAAAUACGAAAAGGGUGCAUACAAAAAUGAUGCAUAUGGACUUUUGACUUCUGGGAAGAGGUUGGUCAAAAAAGAUAAGGGGAUACAUGUCAUUCACUGCAGCUGAGAGUAGCAGCAAGAACUACCAGGUAAACUGCUAGCUCUUUCCUGGCAUUUCUUAGCCCUUUGUGACAGUUCAUCUCAGAGUGAAUUCAAAACACAGCUCUCUUUGAGGACAUACCAUACUAAACACAAAAAAACCCCAAACCCAACCCCAGCAAAAUUUCCAGCCUCCUUAUCUCUGUUUAUAAAAUACAGUAUUGCUGAUAUUCUUGUUUUAUGAGGUGGCACAGGUAUAAGGCAUAACCUGUAACUUAAGAUGCAUCCUUUCAUCUUUAAAAUGUUCUAAAGUUUGUGAAUAAAGGAGAAGGCAUUUGUAACAAGUUUCUGAAUGCAUAAAUUCCUUUAUUGAAAAUAUUGUGAUAGCACUGCAUUACAUAUAUUCAAUAUUCAUAGUUUUAAGGGUCACAGAAUUUUGAUUGAACAACACUGUUUUGAAUAUAGACCACAGCGUUUAGAUAUGCUUUGACAAGGAUAAUAUAAUGAAGUAAGUUGUAGGUAGCAAGAGUGAAAUGUAUGCAAAAUGUUGAACUUGGUUUCAUUUUGUUUGUUGUGGGGAUUUUUUGUUGUGUGUUUGGUUGGGUUUUUUAACUAUUAAGUGGUCUUCUGCCACCAUUUAAAAGAGAAAAGAGUGUUAAAUAUUCUGGGUUUCUUCAAAGCAUUAUGCUGUCAACAACUUUCAAAAUAUUUUAAAGCACUACCAAUACAAACUUUAUUUAUGGCUAUAGUAGACCACAAAGAAAGGAAGUGUGAAAAGCUCAUGUGCAGCGUGUUACAGGCUGUGUAUAGCAUUGUUUUUUUUAGACUGUGCAACUUCUGUGCAGGAUUAAGAUUUAGAAAUGCUUUUGAAAGAAAAGCAAUUGGCU